AAUCCUUUUUGUGGACAUUUCCACAAGGGAUUCUUAAACCGCUUCCACGUCUUAAAAAAGGAUUCAAACUCCAUCUGAACAAACGAAGAUAACUCAUUAUAAAACUU